rnacentral:misc_RNA from 1 species
GAUGAAGAACGUAGCGAAAUGCGAUAAGUAGUGUGAAUUGCAGAAUUCCGUGAAUCAUCGAAUCUUUGAACGCAUCUUGCGCUCCUUGGUAUUCUGAGGAGCAUGCCUGUUUGAGUGUCAUUAAAUUCUCAACUACACUGACUUUGAAUUGGUGUGGCUUGGAUUUGGGGGGAAAAUUGUUGUGGGCUUUUUGUAUAGUCUGCUCCCCUGAAAUUGAUUAGCGGUACCUUUGUGGAACUGUCUACAGGUGUGAUAAUUAUCUACAUCUUAGACAUCUGCUGGAAUGCUGCUUUCUAAACCUUACUUGUAUUGACAAUCUUGACCUCAAAUCAGGUAGGACUACCCGCUGAACUUAAGCAUAUCAAUAAGCGGAGGA